UCAUGGCGCUGGAGCAGACGGAGGUGCACCGGGCGCUGAAGCUGCUCGAGCAGAAGGGGCUGGUGCGGCAGAUGUUCGGUUCGCGCGUCGAGCGCUACGAGC
rnacentral:tRNA from 1 species